rnacentral:lncRNA from 1 species
CCAGCUAAGAACCUGUCCCACGGCUUUUGUUUUAGGACAGCACACAUCCAAUGGCUUAGCUUUGUAAAUCUGAUGACACCAAUUGUGAAGAAAAAAGAUGGUAUUGAAAGCUGCGCCUGCAGACCCUGGUGAAAACUCAGCCACAGGUGCUGCUCAGGAUACCAAGUCACAGACCUUCCAGGAAGGACACGAGUGAUGAUACAGGAUGGAUUCAAAACAAAGCAAUGACGUAGCUUCAAAUUUAAAGGUCAGGAGCUGUAAUGAGAGAAGCUCUGCUGAAAUGGAGUGGAAGCAGUAACC